UACGUAGGGUGCAAGCGUUGUCCGGAAUUAUUGGGCGUAAAGAGCUCGUAGGCGGUCUGUCGCGUCGGCUGUGAAAACCCGGGGCUCAACCCCGGGCCUGCAGUCGAUACGGGCAGACUAGAGUGCGGUAGGGGAGACUGGAAUUCCUGGUGCAGCGGUGAAAUGCGCAGAUAUCAGGAGGAACACCGGUGGCGAAGGCGGGUCUCUGGGCCGUAACUGACGCUGAGGAGCGAAAGCGUGGGGAGCGAACAGG
rnacentral:rRNA from 1 species